GACGAACGCUGGCGGCAGGCCUAACACAUGCAAGUCGAGCGAGCGGCGGACGGGUGAGUAAUGUAUGGGGACUGCCCGAUAGAGGGGGAUAACUACUGGAAACGGUGGCUAAUACCGCAUACUAUCGGAUAACCCAUAUGGGAUUAGCUAGUAGGUGGGGUAAAGGCUCACCUAGGCGACGAUCUCUAGCUGGUCUGAGAGGAUGAUCAGCCACACUGGGAAUAAGACACGGCCCAGACCCGACCGGAGGCGGCAGGGGGGAAUAGUGCACAAUGGGGGAAAGCCUGAUGCAGCCAUGCCGGGGGGAUGAAGAAGGCCUUAGGGUUGUAAAGUACUUUCAGGGUGGAGGCGUUCCCCGCAGAAGAAGCACCGGCUAACGCCGUGCCAGCAGCCUCGGUAAGAC
rnacentral:rRNA from 1 species